rnacentral:misc_RNA from 1 species
AAAAAACAUUGAAAUAGCUCAUGUUGUCUCUUUCUCAUUUUCAUAUCUGCUAAAAAAAGAACCGUGUUUUCUAAACUGGUUUAACGGUAAGUACCUGUCUCUAGUAACUUACCUAUCAAUUUGUUCCAAUCAUUUACUUGCUUUGACUUAUUUGGUUUCCUUUUGUUUUGUUUUUCUUUAAUAUGUGGAUGGAGUUUGGUGUAAUAAGCAACUGAAGAGU